rnacentral:rRNA from 1 species
GACGAACGCUGGCGGCGUGCUUAACACAUGCAAGUCGAACGGAAAGGCCCUGCUUGCAGGGUACUCGCGUUGCGAACGGGUGAGUAACACGUGCGUGAUCUGCCCUGCACUUCGGGAUAAGCCUCGUCAACUGGGCCUAAUACCUGCUAGGAGCUAUAUUUAGUGUGAUGGUUGGAAAGUUUUUUCGGUGUUGGAUGAGCUCGCUGCCUAUCAGCUUGUUGGUGUGGUGAUGGGCUACCGAGGCGGCGGAGGGUAGCAGCCCUGCGUGGGUGGACCGCCACAUUGGGACUGAGAUGCGGCCCAGGCAGCGACGGGAGGCAGAAGGGGGGAAGCUUGAACAAGGGGCGCCAGGCGGAUGAAGAGAGGCUGCGUGGCGGAUGACUGUCUUAGGGUUGAAAAAUCAAUUCGCUAGGGACGAAGCUUGUUGUGACGGUACCUAGUUAAGAAGCACCGGCUAACUACGUG